rnacentral:lncRNA from 1 species
UAAAAACUAAAAAAAAAAAUUCAAAUCAAGUGAAAUACAUAAUCAAACUCGAUUUUACACAAACCUACCAUUCACCCUAACAAAAUCUAUAAAUCUCAUUCCAAAAUCAUCAAAUCUACUUAAAAACCAUACAAAUCUAACCUAAAAGAGUGGGAUAGGGUUCAUACAUGAGGAUUAGGGUGGAAAUCGCGAGGGAGAAGAGAGAAAGCGCCGUAAAUCGCAAGGGAGAAGAGAGGAGUCGACGAAAUCGCAGGGGAAAGAGAGAGUGCGGCGGAGAGAAAUGGGGAAGAAGGUCGGGCUCGACCUAAUAAAAUGAGGGGUCCGACGGAAAUUAUCCGUCGGAAUUUCCUCNNNN